GCCCCAGUGGCGCAAUGGAUAGCGCGUCGGACUUCUAAUCCGGAGGUUGAGGGUUCGAGUCCCUCCUGGGGUG
rfam:Macrostomum lignano uti_cns_0000390, whole genome shotgun sequence.